rnacentral:rRNA from 1 species
UGGGGAAUAUCGGACAAUGGGCGCAAGCCUGAUCCAGCCAUGCCGCGUGAGUGAUGAAGGCCCUAGGGUUGUAAAGCUCUUUCACCGGUGAAGAUAAUGACGGUAACCGGAGAAGAAGCCCCGGCUAACUUCGUGCCAGCAGCCGCGGUAAUACGAAGGGGGCUAGCGUUGUUCGGAUUUACUGGGCGUAAAGCGCACGUAGGCGGACUUUUAAGUCAGGGGUGAAAUCCCGGGGCUCAACCCCGGAACUGCCUUUGAUACUGGAAGUCUUGAGUAUGGUAGAGGUGAGUGGAAUUCCGAGUGUAGAGGUGAAAUUCGUAGAUAUUCGGAGGAACACCAGUGGCGAAGGCGGCUCACUGGACCAUUACUGACGCUGAGGUGCGAAAGCGUGGGGAGCAAACAGG